rnacentral:tRNA from 1 species
GGAGCAGUAGCUCAGUUGGUUAGAGCAACAAAAAUACUUUUCGCUACCGGCACAAAAAGUUCCUAUGAAUUAAGUUUGUGUGUCGCAGGUUCGAGCCCUGCCUGCUCCU